rnacentral:rRNA from 1 species
UACGUAGGGUGCGAGCGUUAAUCGGAAUUACUGGGCGUAAAGCGUGCGCAGGCGGUUUUGUAAGCCAGAUGUGAAAGCCCCGGGCUUAACCUGGGAAUGGCAUUUGGGACUGCAAGGCUGGAGUGUGGCAGAGGAGACUGGAAUUCCUGGUGUAGCAGUGAAAUGCGUAGAUAUCAGGAGGAAUACCGAUGGCGAAGGCAGGUCUCUGGGCUAACACUGACGCUCAUGCACGAAAGCGUGGGGAGCAAACA